rnacentral:lncRNA from 1 species
AAGAUCUCCAAAAGUCUCAUUUUCUUGUGCGGUAGCCGUAGUUUGUGAAUCAAUUAGUAGCGAUGUCAUUGUGGUCGUUGUCAUAGCCAUCAUUAUGAACACUGCAACAUAAAUUGUGACAUGAACUAAUUAUAUGUUUACUCACCAUAUAAAUGUUGAAGUUUACUCUACACUAGACGGCGCUUUCGUGCUUCGCACGGGUUAAUGAUGACCACAAUAUAAGUGUUGUUUUAGCUAAAAAAAAUUAUUUUAAAUGAAUGUCACUUUCAGUUUCCAAUGCAAUAAUAAUUUUUUCUUUUCAAU